GAUGAACGCUAGCGGCAGGCCUAAUACAUGCAAGUCGAACGGGAUCUGAGGGUAGCUUGCUACCCGAUUUGAGAGUGGCGCACGGGUGCGUAACGCGUGAGCAACCUACCCAUAUCAGGGGGAUAGCCCGAAGAAAUUCGGAUUAACACCGCAUAAUAAUACGCUAACACAUGUUGAUGUAUUUAAAUAUUUAUAGGAUAUGGAUGGGCUCGCGUGACAUUAGCUAGUUGGUAAGGUAACGGCUUACCAAGGCGACGAUGUCUAGGGGCUCUGAGAGGAGAAUCCCCCACACUGGUACUGAGACACGGACCAGACUCCUACGGGAGGCAGCAGUAAGGAAUAUUGGUCAAUGGGCGCGAGCCUGAACCAGCCAUGCCGCGUGCAGGAUGACUGCCCUAUGGGUUGUAAACUGCUUUUGUUAGGGAAUAAACCUUCUUACGUGUAAGGAGCUGAAUGUACCUAAAGAAUAAGGAUCGGCUAACUACGUGCCAGCCGCCGCAGUAAUAC
rnacentral:rRNA from 1 species